AUGUGUUUGACAGAUGAAGCUGAACUUCCAGGUGUUUGAUGUUGAUACUAGGUUGGGUGCUAUGGUAUUUUCUCCAGCAUGUUUUGGUCAUUGUUCAUGGACCCACACUUCCAUCUCCCUCUCUGGGCCCUACUGACUAUAGGGGAAGAAUUGACUUGGCUGCACUGAAGGCCUACCCCUGGGAAUCAGAUGCCAUGUUCUUGCUGCUCGCUGGAGAUCACUCUCGGCUCCUGGAGGACCCUCUGGUUUUUGCUGUAUGGCUUCUUCUGAGGGCCGUCUCACGAAAUGGGAAUCUGAACAUGUAAGAUUGAAAGGAAUAAUGAAGAUGGCUUUAUAUCAUGAAUACAUGUGGACCAUAUCUCAUAGUUGAGCACACAUAAUCCAGUGUUCAAUAACUACUAGAUUAAUUCAACAUAUCUUGAAAAUGGAGUCAUUCAGACUUUUUAAGGGAAGUCUGUUUUACUUUUCCAGCUCUACUGAGUGUCUUCAGAGGAAGCCUGACAUCACUUCAUAUGCAGUUGCCCAUAAUUUAAGAAAGGUGUUUCAUACAAGGCUUACAAGUCCACUCUCUUAUUUAUUAGAAAAAAUCUGUACAACCUGGAGAAAUUUAGCAGUGUCUUGUUAUAGUUAAGAAGAACCAGAUUCAUGAAAUAUUCACCCAAGUCAAAAGGCAAGUGACAUUUUCUGUUGAACUCUGCUCAACCAGAAACCCAAUUCAAGUAUUCUAUAAAAAAAAAAAAAAAAAAAAA